rfam:TPA: Bos taurus chromosome 4, whole genome shotgun sequence.
UCCCUGGCAGUCCAAUGGUUAUGACUCUGCACUUCUAAUGCAGGGGUCACAGGUUUGAUCCCUGGUCAAGGAA